rnacentral:rRNA from 1 species
CAAACUUGGUCAUUUAGAGGAAGUAAAAGUCGYAMCAAGG